rnacentral:rRNA from 1 species
UACAGAGGGUGCGAGCGUUAAUCGGAAUUACUGGGCGUAAAGCGUGCGUAGACGGUUAUUUAAGUCAGGUGUGAAAGCCCCGGGCUCAACCUGGGAAUUGCAUUCGAGACUGAAUAGCUAGGGUGCGGAAGAGGGAAGCGGAAUUUCCGGUGUAGCGGUGAAAUGCGUAGAUAUCGGAAGGAACACCAGUGGCGAAAGCGGCUUCCUGGUCCAGCACCGACGUUCAGGCACGAAAGCGUGGGGAGCAAACAGG